AUGGAGAGCAACAGCAGCACCUGCGCCAUCUGCAAUGGCGACAUGCGCCGUGGCGGCGGUGGCGGCAGCGGCUUCACGGCCGACUGCUCCCACCAGUUCCACUACCGCUGCGUCUCCGGGAGCCUCGCCAGCAGCCGCCAAGCCUGCCCGCUGUGCAGCGCGCGGUGCCGCGACCUGCCGUCCUUCCGCUCCUCCAAGAGCUCCACGCCGUCACAGCCGCCGCUCGCGUCGCGCGCGCCGGCACAACCGUUCUUCCGGCCCAUGGAGCCACGCGUCUUCGACGACGACGACCCGGUGGUCCGGGCGCCUCGGCCUCUCGGCGACCGGCACCAUGGUACCGCGAGUGCGACGUCCAGCGGGUCUUUAGCGGUGGCGCUCAGCACGCACUGCGAGUACUCGUCCCUGGCACGGGACGCGUCACACGAGAACUUCGCCGUGCUCGUGCACGCCAGGGCUCCGGGAACUGGUGGCGCCGCCACCGGCGGGGCGCCGCCGCGCGCGAGGGCGCCGAUCGACCUGGUGACCGUGCUCGACGUGAGCGGCAGCAUGGUAGGGAGCAAGCUGGCGCUGCUGAAGCAGGCCAUGGGUUUCGUCGUCGACAGCCUCGGCCCCGCGGACCGCCUCUGCGUCGUGUCCUUCUCGUCCGGCGCCAGCCGCCUGAUGCGGCUCGCGCGCAUGUCGGAAUCGGACGGCGGGAAGGACCUGGCGAAGCGCGCCGUGCAGUCCCUCGCGGCGGGCGGCGGCACCAACAUCGGGGCCGCCCUUCUCAAGGCCGCCAAGGUGCUGGACGACCGCCUCCGCAGGAACGCCGUCGCGAGCGUGAUACUUCUGUCGGACGGGCAGGACACGUACACCGUGCCCAAGCGCGGCCGUGACGCCAACUACGACGCGCUCGUGCCGCCUUCCUUCAUGUACACCGGCGCCGGCGACCGGUCCGCGCCUGUCCACACGUUUGGGUUCGGCACCGACCACGACGCAGCGGCGAUGCACACCAUCGCCGAGGCCACGGGCGGCACGUUCUCGUUCAUCGAGAACGAGGCGGACAUCCAGGACGCAUUCGCGCAAUGCAUCGGGGGGCUCCUCUCCGUCGCCGUGCAGGAAUUGCGCGUUGACAUCGCGUGCCCGCAAUCGGGGGUGCGCGUCCGGUCGGUCAACUCUGGCCACUACAGGAGCCACAUCAACGUGGACGGCCGCUCCGCCUCCAUCGACGUCGGCGAGCUGUACGCCGACGAGGAGAGGCGCUUCUUGCUGCUCAUGGACGUGCCGAGGGCCCGAUCCACCACGGAUGUCACCCACGUGAUGCAAGUCAGCUGCGCUUACCGAGACAUGAUGACUGGACGGCCAACGAACGUGGACGGCGAGGACGCGGUGGUGCUGAGGCCCUCGCGGGCGUUGAGCCUGGAGCGCUCCGCGGAGGUCGAGCGGGAGCGCGUCCGGUUGGCGGCGACGGACGGCAUCGCUGCGGCUCGUGCGGCGGCAGAGCGGGGCGCUCACGAGGAGGCGGCCGAGAUACUCCAGAGCGGGCAGCGAGCCGUGGCGCGCUCGGCGGCCGCACGAGCGGGGGACUCGAUGUGCGUAGAGUUGUCCCGGGAUCUGCAGGAGAUGAGCGCCCGCGUGGCGGACCGGCGGCGGUACGAGCUGUCCGGGCGUGCGUACAUGCUGGCAGGGCUGAGCUCGCACGCGCAGCAGCGCGCGACGUCGCGGCAGAUGUCUGGCGCCAGCGAGACGACGCGCCGCAGGGCAGAGGCGGCCCUUGGCACGACGGUAAUAUCCACGACGGGCGCCACGGCGUCGUACUCGUACGUGACACCGGCGAUGAUGGACAUGCUGGACCGAUCGCGGAGAUCGCGGGAAAUGACGGCGCUGUCGCAGCAGAGGAGUAAGGAGCGGCGAAGGAGCGCACACUACUGA
rnacentral:rRNA from 1 species